rnacentral:snRNA from 1 species
CGAAGGGAAUCCUCCGAUAAAAAAUGGAGCGAUGCAGAGAAGAUUAGCAUGGCCCCUGCGCAACAAUGACAUGCACAAGUCGAGAAGUGUACCAAGGCUGU